ensembl:lncRNA
AUUCAGAAUUUCAGUGUUUAUCUAAAGGAAAGAAAGCAGUUGACAAUACCCAACAAUAAGAGACAAUGCAAGUGCUUUAAAUUGGAAAUAGCCUGUAGUCUUCUGUGAUGACGAAUUUCUGCUGUACCAUGAAAGCACUGUGGAAGAGAGCCCUGCCAUCUAUGUAAAUACACUUAAAGAGCAGAAGAUCUUCUGCGCUCUCUUUGUAGUUGUGAACGUGCUGUGUGUGCAAGGCAGAAGGUUGUGACAUGUCAUAAACUUCUCUAAUUUCUGCGGUCUUUUUACAGUCAUGAAUAGCAGUCAAUCUCUCUAAGCAACCCAUUCUGGAUUUUGGUUUAAAACCACUACAUAUUUGAAGUUAGAAACAAGAGAUAUUUUAGUAUUCUACCUCUUUCAACAUGUACUUUCUGUCUUGAUUUAAGUCCAAGAACUUAGUAAUAUGGUAGGCAGAAACUCACCUGUCAGAGAAGUUUACUUUUUUGGACAAAUGUUAUGCUAGAAAUCAUGGGAUGAUUUCAGAUAUUUUCAUCAUUAAAAGAAAUGUUGGAGUAAACCAUGGACAUGUGGACAUGAACUGAUGUGAAGUGAAUAGAUUGCAGACAAAAUUCUUCUCUCAUCUGGAGUAGAUUCAUUUGCUUCAGUGAAACAAUUCUGGAUUUCCAGUGAUGUAAUUUGGAACAGCAUCUGGCUUCAGAUACAUAAGAAGAUCUCCUUGUAAUGGUUUAUAUCACUGACUACUUACUGCAUGAUUUUGCUAUGCUUUUCUUAGCUCUUAUUAGCUACACAUAAUCGUUAGUCUUAAAUCUUUCUCAUGUUUCAUACAAGGCCAAUAAAAGCCUUGCAGAACGAGGAAAAUGUACAUUUCCUUCAGAUCACCACUGUGUGGCAUCUUUCAAAACUUAGUUAAAAUCACAGUCAAAAUUAUCUUCUCUUUUUAGUUUGGAUAUUACUUUAUGGAAUACAACUGAAGGAAAAGCCUCUCAGUUCUGUCUGUUCUUCACAUAAAGCAAGUCGGUGCAACAAGUCAGAGACAUUUACUUGGCGAACAGCCUUUAAUUAGUGGGAUUUUUCCCAUAAGGACUCUUCCUCUAUUUGAGUAAAUGUAUGUUGUGUUGACAGACAUCCAUUCUAGUCACCUUCACAUAGUUUCAUUAUUAUUUUCUUUUAAACAAAUAAAUACAGUGCGGGACCUGCCUUCUCUCAAACUUGUGGCCAAAUUCUGCUUCCAAAUAUGACACCCAUUCAUCAUCAUACAGAAUUUGUAAAGGAGAGGUGGACUGAAAGUUACUCUUCCUCUGUCACUGUGUGGAUGUUUUAGUACAUCAUUCUUUUCACUACAAGGCUUUCAAAGUCACACUCUGAACAUGAGAACCGCAGGCAAUCUUCACUGCCUUCAGAAUCUGUUUUAAAUGUUUUAAAUGUUUUAAUGCAAGAAGGCUUAAUAAAACUACAAGACAAUAGUGAAUACAUAUGUAAAUACGCUAAAUACGAUGAAGAAAUCAGCAUUUGCUAUUAUCCCACACAUUCUACAGUUGCAUUCUGUUGUAUAUUACAAAGCUGUAGCAUCUGAUUUCUUAAUGGUUAAGGCUGUACUUUGCAAAUAUGUUCAGAAAUAUCCACGCAGAUGUUUCUGUUUAAUCUUAUUACACUUGCUUUUCCAGCUUGGAAAUUUAAUUCCAGGAUCAUAAUUAAUAAUACAUAAUUAAUAAUUUCAUUUAGUCCGAGUGAUUACAAGGACUGUUGUGGUAGCCAAAAGCAAUAUUUGUGUCAUUUGCCUUUCAUUGAACUUCUAAGGUAGUGACACUUGUUUUAAUAAAAGAUAAAUAUUACAGUUGAGUCUGUUUAUUUUUUCCAUUACAUCUGGAUUCUCUUUCUGGCUUUCCUUUAGGUAAAUUUUUUACAAAUCUUUUUCAAAUAUUAAUGAUAUACCAUUAUCUUUUUCUAAAAGGCAGCUCCAUCCAUCAUAAUAGAUUACAAAUUUGUCACCUUGAAUCAAUUUUUGUUCACAAGUUCAAAAGGAAAUAUAAGUGCUUGAGGGCCCAGAAAUAUUUAUUGUACAUGUGGAUAUUAUUAAAGUUUAUUGAAAUCCUUC